UUAGGGCAAGUCUGGUGCCAGCAGCCGCGGUAAUUCCAGCUCCAAUAGCGUAUAUUAAAGUUGUUGCAGUUAAAAGCUCGUAGUUGAAUUUCGGGAUCAAUAUUUCGGUCAUGCCGUUGGUAUGCACUGUUAUCAUUGAUUUCUCACCUUCUAAAGAACCGUAAUGCCAUUAAUUUGGUGUUACGGGGAAUUAGGACUGUUACCUUGAAAAAAUUAGAGUGUUUAAAGCAGGCUCACGCUUGGAUACAUUAGCAUGGAAUAAUGAAAUAGGACAUCCGAUUCUAUUUUGUUGGUUUCUAGGAUCGAUGUAAUGAUUAAUAGGGAUAGUUGGGGGCAUUAGUAUUCAAUUGUCAGAGGUGAAAUUCUUGGAUUUAUUGAAGACUAACUACUGCGAAAGCAUUUGCCAAGGAUGUUUUCAUUAAUCAAGAACGAAAGUUAGGGGAUCGAAGACGAUCAGAUACCGUCGUAGUCUUAACCAUAAACUAUGCCGACUAGGGAUCGGAUGAUGUUAAUUUUUUAAUGACUCAUUCGGCGCCUUACGGGAAACA
rnacentral:rRNA from 1 species